GGUUCGAUCAUGGCUCAGAUUGAACGCUGGCGGGAUACUUUACAUGCAAGUCGAACGGCAGCACGGACUGUCUGGUCUGGUGGCGAGUGGCGAACGGGUGAGUAAUGUAUCGGAACGUGCCUAGUAGCGGGGGAUAACUACGCGAAAGCGUAGCUAAUACCGUACGCCCUUCGGGGGAAAGCGGGGGACCUUCGGGCCUCGCACUAUUAGAGCGGCCGAUAUCGGAUUAGCUAGUUGGUGGGAGUAACGGCUCACCAAGGCGACGUGAUCCGUAGCUGGUUUGAGGACGACCAGCCACACUGGGACUGAGACACGGCCCAGACUCCUACGGGGAGGCAGCAGUGGGAAUUUUGGACAAUGGAAACCCUGAUCCAGCCAUCCCGCGUGUGCGAUGAAGGACUUCGGGCUGUAAAGCACUUUUGGCAGGAAAGAAACGGCACGGGAUAAUACCCCGUGCAACUGACAGUACCUGCAGAAUAAGCACCGGCUAACUACGUGCCAACAGCCGCGGUAAUACGUAAGUGCAAGCGUUAAUCGGAAUUACUGGGCGUAAAGCGUGCGCAGGCGGUUCGGAAAGAAAGAUGUGAAAUCCCAGAGCUUAACUUUGGAACUGCAUUUUUAACUACCGAGCUAGAGUGUGUCAGAGGAGGUGGAAUUCCAUGUGGCAGUGAAAUGCGUAGAUAUGCGGAGGAACACCGAUGGCGAAGGCAGCCUCCUGGGAUAACACUGACGCUCAUGCACGAAAGCGUGGGAGCAAACAGGAUUAGAUACCCUGGUAGUCCACGCCCUAAACGAUGUCAACUAGCUGUUGUUGGGGCCUUCGGGCCUUGGUAGCGCAACUAACGCGUGAAGUUGACCGCCUGGGGAGUACGGUCGCAAGAUUAAAACUCAAAGGAAUUGACGGGGACCCGCACAAGCGGUGGAUGAUGUGGAUUAAUUCGAUGCAACGCGAAGCCUUACCCUUGACAUGUCUGGAAUCCCGAAGAGAUUUGGGAGUGCUCGCAAAGAGAACCGGAACACAGGUGCUGCAUGGCUGUCGUCAGCUCGUGUCGUGAGAUGUUGGGUUAAGUCCGCAACGAGCGCAAGCCCUUGUCAUUAGUUGCUACGAAGGGCACUCUAAUGAGACUGCCGGUGACAAACCGGAGGAAGGUGGGAUGACGUCAAGUCCUCAUGGCCCUUAUGGGUAGGGCUUCACACGUCAUACAAUGGUCGGGACAGAGGGUCGCCAACCCGCGAGGAGCCAAUCCCAGAAACCCGAUCGUAGUCCGGAUCGCAGUCUGCAACUCGACUGCGUGAUCGGAAUCGCUAGUAAUCGCGGAUCAGCAUGUCGCGGUGAAUACGUUCCCGGGUCUUGUACACCGCCCGUCACACCAUGGGAGUGGGUUUACCAGAAGUAGUUAGCCUAACCGUAAGGAGGGCGAUUACCACGGUAGGAUUCAUGACUGGGGUGAAGUCGUAACAAGGUAA
rnacentral:rRNA from 1 species